rnacentral:rRNA from 1 species
GACGAACGCUGGCGGCGUGCUUAACACAUGCAAGUCGAGCGGAAAGGCGCUGCUUUUACGGUACUGACGUGAGCGACGGAUGGGUAAGACAUGGGUGAUUAACCCUGCUCUUCGAGUUGGACCACGGAGAGAAGGUGGAGUAAAGAACGGAAAAUAUAUUGAAUGGGAUGGUUGGAAAGUGUUUUAGGUGUAGGAUGAGCUGGCGACGUAUUAGCGAGUUGGUGGGGUAACGGCUUACCAAGGCGGCGAAGGGUAGCCGACCUGAGAGGGUGGUCGGCCACACGGGAACUGAGACACGGUCCAGACUCCUACGGGAGGCAGCAGUAGGGAAUCUUCCGCAAUGGGCGAAAGCCUGACGGAGCAACGCCGCGUGAGUGAUGAAGGUCUUCGGAUCGUAAAACUCUGUUAUUAGGGAAGAACAAAUGUGUAAGUAACUAUGCACGUCUUGACGGUACCUAAUCAGAAAGCCACGGCUAACUACGUG